UAACGCGAAGAACCUUACCUGGUCUUGACAUCCACGGAAGUUUUCAGAGAUGAGAAUGUGCCUUCGGGAACCGUGAGACAGGUGCUGCAUGGCUGUCGUCAGCUCGUGUUGUGAAAUGUUGGGUUAAGUCCCGCAACGAGCGCAACCCUUAUCCUUUGUUGCCAGCGGUCCGGCCGGGAACUCAAAGGAGACUGCCAGUGAUAAACUGGAGGAAGGUGGGGAUGACGUCAAGUCAUCAUGGCCCUUACGACCAGGGCUACACACGUGCUACAAUGGCGCAUACAAAGAGAAGCGACCUCGCGAGAGCAAGCGGACCUCAUAAAGUGCGUCGUAGUCCGGAUUGGAGUCUGCAACUCGACUCCAUGAAGUCGGAAUCGCUAGUAAUCGUGGAUCAGAAUGCCACGGUGAAUACGUUCCCGGGCCUUGUACACACCG
rnacentral:rRNA from 1 species